rnacentral:tRNA from 1 species
GAUACCCUCGAUGCGUCCGGACAAUCCGCGUGGCUUGGGCCCACGAAAUCGCAGGUUCAAAUCCUGCCAGCCCCACCA